rnacentral:rRNA from 1 species
AGCAGCCGCGGUAAUUCCAGCUCCAAUAGCGUAUAUUAAAGUUGUUGCAGUUAAAAAGCUCGUAGUUGAAUUUCGGGGUCAGCAGGUUGGUCGUGCCACUGGUAUGUACUGGCUUUGCUGAUUCCUCCUUCUUGUAGAACCGUAAUGCCAUUAAUUUGGUGUUGCGGGGAAACAGGACUGUUACUUUGAAAAAAUUAGAGUGUUUAAAGCAAGCUAACGCUUGAAUACAUUAGCAUGGAAUAAUGAAAUAGGACGUUUGAUCCUAUUUUGUUGGUUUCUAGGAUCGACGUAAUGAUUAAUAGGGAUAGUUGGGGGCAUUAGUAUUCAAUUGUCAGAGGUGAAAUUCUUGGAUUUAUUGAAGACUAACUACUGCGAAAGCAUUUGCCAAGGAUGUUUUCAUUAAUCAAGAACGAAAGUUAGGGGAUCGAAGACGAUCAGAUACCGUCGUAG